rnacentral:rRNA from 1 species
AGGGAUCAUUACUGAGUUUACGCUCUACAACCCUUUGUGAACAUACCUAUAACUGUUGCUUCGGCGGGUAGGGUCUCCGCGACACUCCCGGCCUCCCGCCCCCGGGCGGGUCGGCGCCCGCCGGAGGAUAACCAAACUCUGAUGUAACGACGUUUCUUCUGAGUGGUACAAGCAAAUAAUCAAAACUUUUAACAACGGAUCUCUUGGUUCUGGCAUCGAUGAAGAACGCAGCGAAAUGCGAUAAGUAAUGUGAAUUGCAGAAUUCAGUGAAUCAUCGAAUCUUUGAACGCACAUUGCGCCCGCCAGCAUUCUGGCGGGCAUGCCUGUUCGAGCGUCAUUUCAACCCUCAAGCUCUGCUUGGUGUUGGGGCCCUACAGCUGAUGUAGGCCCUCAAAGGUAGUGGCGGACCCUCCCGGAGCCUCCUUUGCGUAGUAACUUUACGUCUCGCACUGGGAUCCGGAGGGACUCUUGCCGUAAAACCCCCAAUUCUCCAAAGGUUGACCUCGGAUCAGGUAGGAAUACCCGCUGAA